ACUCAAAUGAAUAGACGGGGACCCGCACAAGCAGCGGAGCAUGUGGUUUAAUUCGACGCAACGCGAAGAACCUUACCAGGGCUUGACAUCCCUCUGCCGUAGCUAGAGAUAGCUAUUUAUCUUCGGAUACAGAGGAGACAGGUGGUGCAUGGUUGUCGUCAGCUCGUGUCGUGAGAUGUUGGGUUAAGUCCCGCAACGAGCGCAACCCUUGCCUUUAGUUGAUAACAGGUAAAGCUGAUAACUCUAGAGGGACUGCCGGUGACAAACCGGAGGAAGGUGGGGAUGACGUCAAAUCAUCAUGCCCCUUAUGUCCUGGGCUACACACGUGCUACAAUGGCCGGUACAACGGGUAGCGAGGCUGCGAAGCCAAGCCAAUCCCAAGAAGCCGGUCCCAGUUCGGAUUGUAGGCUGCAACUCGCCUACAUGAAGUCGGAGUUGCUAGUAAUCGCAAAUCAGAAUGUUGCGGUGAAUGCGUUCCCGGGUCUUGCACACACCGCCCGU
rnacentral:rRNA from 1 species